rnacentral:rRNA from 1 species
UAAAUAUUAUAUAAAUAAUCUUAUCUGGUAAAGCGAAUGAUUAGAGGCAUUAGGGUCGAAACGAUCUUAACCUAUUCUCAAACUUUAAAUGGGUAAGAACCUUAUCUUUCUUGAUAUGAAGAUUAAGGUUAUGAUAUAUUGUGCCCAGUGGGCCAUUUUUGGUAACGCAGAACUGGCGCUGUGGGAUGAACCAAACGUAAUGUUAAGGCGCCUAAAUUAACAACUCAUACUGAUACCAGUGAAAGGCGUUGCUUGCUUAAAACAGCAGGACGGUGGACAUGGAAUUCGUAACUCCGUAUAAGGAGUGUGUAACAACUCACCUGCCGAACCAACUAGCCCUUAAAAUGGAUGGCGCUCAAGUUGUAUGCCAAAACAUUACCGCUAAAAUAAAUGAUUUAUAAAUUUUUUUUAUAAAUUUUGAAAUUUUAGUGAGUAGGAGGGUAGAAUGGUGUGCGUACAAGUGUUUGGCGUAAGCCCGCAUGGAGCCGCCAUUGGUACAAAUCUUGGUGGUAAUAGCAAAUAAUCGAAUGAGACCUUGGAGGACUGAAGUGGAGAAGGGUUUCGUGUGAACAGUGGUUGAUCACGAGUUAGUCGGUCCUAAGUUCAAGGCGAAAGCCGAAAAAUGUUAAAGUUCUAUUAUUAAUAGAUUAAUACUUUAAAUUUUAUUGAGCGAAAGGGAAUACGGUUCCAAUUCCGUAACCUGUUGAGUAUACGUUUGUAAUUAAAACUGGGCUUUAUGCUCAUCCUGGUAACAGUACCGACCAUAAAGAAGCCGUCGAGAGAUAUCGAAAGAGUUUUCUUUUCUGUUUUAUAGUCGUAUUACCAUGGAAGUCUUUCGAAGAGAGAUAUGGUAAAUGGACUAGAAGAGCAUGGCAUUUACUGCUGUGUCGAUAUUAUCUCCUCGGACCUUGAAAAUUUAUGGAAGG